rnacentral:rRNA from 1 species
ACAUGCAGUCGUACGGGAGUUUUUAACUCAAGUGGCGGACGGGUGAGUAACACGUAAGAAUUUACCUUUAGGAGGGGGAUAACAACUGGAAACGGUUGCUAAUACCCCAUAUGCUUUCGAGUGAAAUGGAAUUUUCCGCCUAGAGAGAAGCUUGCGGCUGAUUAGCUUGUUGGUGUGGUAAUGGCUCACCAAGGCGACGAUCAGUAUCUGGUUUGAGAGGACGAUCAGACACACUGGAACUGAGACACGGUCCAGACUCCUACGGGAGGCAGCAGUGGGGAAUUUUCCGCAAUGGGCGAAAGCCUGACGGAGCAAUACUGCGUGAGGGAUGACGGCCUAUGGGUUGUAAACCUCUUUUUUCAGGGAGGAAUGAAAUGACGUGUACCUGAAGAAUAAGCAUCGGCUAACUCCGUGCCAGCAGCCGCGGUAAGACGGAGGAUGCAAGUGUUAUCCGGAAUCACUGGGCGUAAAGCGUCUGUAGGUGGUCCAAUAAGUCAACUGUUAAAUCUUGAGGCUCAACCUCAAAAUCGCAGUCGAAACUAUUAGACUAGAGUAUAGUAGGGGUAAAGGGAAUUUCCAGUGGAGCGGUGAAAUGCGUAGAGAUUGGAAAGAACACCGAUGGCGAAGGCACUUUACUGGGCUAUUACUAACACUCAGAGACGAAAGCUAGGGUAGCAAAUGGGGAUUAGAUACCCCAGUAGUCCUAGCCGUAAACAAUGGAUACUAGAUGUUGACCAGAUCGACCUGU